GUGGUUGUAGCUCAGUGGUAGAGUACUUGCCUAGCGUGUGUGAGGCACUGGACUGAGUUCAAUUCUCAGCACCACA
rnacentral:tRNA from 1 species